GGCAUGGACAUUUUUACGUGAAAGGAGCAUUCAAAAAUUCUCCCACCAGCUAUCAGAAGUGGUAUAAUCCAGAUUUCUACUCCCUCAUGCCAAGUCAGCCCCCGCUGAUGAGCUCUGCUGCCUCAUAAGAGCUGCAUAACAGGCAGAAAAUCAAGCACUACAUGCUUUCCCAUCAUAAUGAUAGGAAAGGGGCAAUGGAACCCAUAUAUAUAGACAACGAUGAUGGGCUGACAAAAGUGCAAUGACUUAGCAAGAAUGCCAAGGUCAAGAUGAGGGCCCUUCCUCUUGAGAACAGGGACUGGAGUGAUGGAGUGUUUGAAAGGAGGCGGAUGGAGAGAGAAAGAAGAUGGGGAUGCCUUAUGGUAGCCAUUAAGGCUACCAUAAAAUGUAGAGGGCAUUGCACCCUUUCACCACAGAGAAAUAUGUCAGAUCUAUCUAUGUUUCCCAGAGACACUGUCCACACAACCAUAUGCCUUGCACUUAAGCUGCUUUAAUCAUUCCUGGGAUUUUUUUUAGGGGAUUCUUUAACCAUGAAAGUUAAAGUGUAGAAACAACUUUAAGUCUUUACUGUGGCUAUGUUCUCAAGGAUGUCAAAUUCUGCACUAAAAUUACCCUCCAAAUCCAAAUACAUUGUAAACAUCUGGAUAUGUGCAGAAUAUACUGUGGCCAUGGCUUUCAGUAUUCAUGUACCUAUUCUAAACACAAAGUUUUAUGACUCUUCCCCCUAUAGUGUCAUUUCUGGAUUGUUUCUGGACUUAAAUUAUUUUGAACAA